rnacentral:rRNA from 1 species
GACGAACGCUGGCGGCGUGCCUAAUACAUGCAAGUUGAGCGCUGAAGGUUGGUACUUGUACCAACUGGAUGAGCAGCGAACGGGUGAGUAACGCGUGGGGAAUCUGCCUUUGAGCGGGGGACAACAUUUGGAAACGAAUGCUAAUACCGCAUAAAAACUUUAAACACAAGUUUUAAGUUUGAAAGAUGCAAUUGCAUCACUCAAAGAUGAUCCCGCGUUGUAUUAGCUAGUUGGUGAGGUAAAGGCUCACCAAGGCGAUGAUACAUAGCCGACCUGAGAGGGUGAUCGGCCACAUUGGGACUGAGACCCGGCCCAAACUCCCACGGGAGGCAGCAGUAGGGAAUCUUCGGCAAUAGACGAAAGUCUGACCGAGCAACGCCGCGUGAGUGAAGAAGGUUUUCGGAUCGUAAAACUCUGUUGGUAGAGAAGAACGUUGGUGAGAGUGGAAAGCUCAUCAAGUGACGGUAACUACCCAGAAAGGGACGGCUAACUACGUG